rnacentral:rRNA from 1 species
GACGUAGGGCGCAAGCGUUGUCCGGAUUUAUUGGGCGUAAAGAGCUCGUAGGCGGCUUGUCACGUCGGGGGUGAAAGACCGGGGCUUAACCCCGGGCCUGCAGUGGGUACGGGCAGACUAGAGUGCGGUAGGGGAGACUGGAAUUCCUGGUGUAGCGGUGAAAUGCGCAGAUAUCAGGAGGAACACCGGUGGCGAAGGCGGCAUCCUGGACCGGCAUUGACGCUGAUGAGCGAAAGCCAGGGGAGCAAACGGG